UAAGCUUGACAUCUCUCAGAUCGGUAGUUAAUCCUACCUUCCCUUCGGGGCUGAGAUGACAGGUGGUGCAUGGUUGUCGUCAGCUCGUGUCGUGAGAUGUUGGGUUAAGUCCCGCAACGAGCGCAACCCUUGUCUUUAGUUGCCAGCAUUAAGUUGGGCACUCUAGAGAGACUGCCAGGGAUAACCUGGAGGAAGGUGGGGAUGACGUCAAAUCAUCAUGCCCCUUAUGCUUAGGGCUACACACGUGCUACAAUGGGUGGUACAGAGGGUUGCCAAGCCGCAAGGUGGAGCUAAUCCCUUAAAGCCAUUCUCAGUUCGGAUUGUAGGCUGAAACUCGCCUACAUGAAGCUGGAGUUACUAGUAAUCGCAGAUCAGAAUGCUGCGGUGAAUGCGUUCCCGGGUC
rnacentral:rRNA from 1 species